ensembl:snRNA U2 U2 spliceosomal RNA
AUUGCUUCUUGGCCUUUUGGCUAAGAUCAAGUAUAGUAUCUGUUCUUAUCUGUUUAGAAAUAAGUAAGGUGUAAAGUUUUCCUGGGCUCACUGCUCAGUGAGUAGGACCACCACCUUACACCAGGAUCACUUUUU